GUUUAUUGUUUACUACUUCGGAAACUAAGACCACAGUGAAAAGGACAGCUUCCAAAAUAGCAAAGAAAGUUACUGCUACUAACAAAAUAACUUUAAAAUAAGUAUUGCUGAAUGGACUGCCUCAUUUCGACAGUUAUUCGUUCCUACCAUGGAUCACAGAGAACAGUUAAACUGUGUUAAAUUAGGCUUCAGUUAGAUAGAUCCUUGUCACUGUUAAUUGGCUUCCUAUAGAUGUCAUUAGGAUUGUUUGUAGAAGAAGACAAGACUGGGCUGGCGAGGUGCUCCAGCCCUCUGAUCAUCUUCAUGGCCUCAUCUGGACCUGCUCCAACAGCUCUACAUCCUUCUUGUUUUGGGGAUCCCAGGCCUGAAUGCAGUACUGCAGAUCAUCUAGAAACUCCAUUCUAUCUGAACUACAGAAAGUCUAGGGAAGAAAAAAAAAAAACUUUAGCAGGGUAAACUCUGCAACAAGCUUAAAAGAAUUCCAAGAGCAAGAUGUAAAUUCUUCAGCCAAUGGAGUUUGUGGCAUAUAUUCAACAUCUAUUGUUACAACUAAGACAGACUGAUCUGAGCUGAAAAUAUCAAUAACAGGAAUUGCUGGAACA
rnacentral:lncRNA from 1 species